rnacentral:lncRNA from 1 species
AUCAAGGGCUGACCACCGGGGCCGAGUACCGCAGCCAUUCAGAGGAGACUCCAAAACAAAGUGUGUGCCAUUCAUCUUGGCCUUGCAGGUAGGAUCCAACAGGGUGACGUCCAUCCCCGAGUAGCCACUGGCCUGAAAAGAAUCUUUUUCUACAGCCACGAUCAUCUUCUCAUUGUCACAUUUGACAGACAGGGCAAUAUCCACGCUCCC